UACGUAGGGUGCAAGCGUUGUCCGGAAUUAUUGGGCGUAAAGGGCUCGUAGGCGGUCCAUCGCGUCGGGAGUGAAAAGCUGGGGCUUAACCCCAGUCCUGCUUCCGAUACGGGUGGACUAGAGGUAGGUAGGGGAGAACGGAAUUCCCGGUGUAGAGGUGAAAUUCGUAGAUAUCGGGAGGAACACCAGUGGCGAAGGCGGCGACCUGGACCACGACUGACACUGAAAAGCGAAAGCCAGGGGAGCAAACGGG
rnacentral:rRNA from 1 species